UACGGGGGGGGCAAGCGUUGUUCGGAAUUACUGGGCGUAAAAGGCUUGUAGGUGGCCACGCGAAGUCGGAUGUGAAAUCUCCCGGCUCAACUGGGAGGGGUCAUUCGAUACUGGCGGGCUCGAGGCCGGUAGGGGGAAGCGGAAUUCUAUGUGUAGCGGUAAAAUGCUCAAAUAUAUAGAGGAACACCAAUUGGCGAAGGCAGUUAACUAUUCGGCUCCUGACGUUGAGGCACGAAAGCGUGGGGAGCAAGACGG
rnacentral:rRNA from 1 species